ACAAAGGAAUGAAAAAGAAAAUGACAUCACUCAGCUUACAAAGGCUGAAGAUUCCAAUGGCUAUUUGUAAUCCAACGGCCACGGACAAGUUUGAAGGGUAGUUGAGGUUAGAUUUUUGUAAUCCAACGGCUAUGGCCGAAUGACUUGGAGCAUUUGUAUUUUGUAAGUUGUGUUGGAGAAUGAUUUGAGUCAUUUAACCAUGCUUUCGUAGAGCUUUGUACACAAGAAGGAGAAAAUCCAAACAGCAGAAAUUUAGAGCACUGUGACUUUCGUGAACACUUGGGCUUUCCAUCUUCAGAUGGGCACCCCAAGCAAAGCCCUCUAUAUUCUUCUUCGGCUUACCCUCUCUCGCUCUUUGUUUCUUCAUCUCUCUCGCUUAAACUUCCUAUCAUUGAUGCAAUUGAAAAUCCAAAUCCUUACAUUAUCAUGAAGUAUGUGAUCUUCCCCAAUGUUGUGUGUAAUGGAUUAACAGAAGUCCGGGAAGGAAUAAUAACAGAUGAGACUACUGAUCAUCAGUUCCUAGUACACUGCCACAUUGUCCUUCUGCCAUAUUAUCAUGUGUAUGUUCCUGAGAGAGCAACGCGAUUCCAAACUAACGUCGUCUUCCCCAAUCCUAGUGACGAGGCAUACGACCCAAGCAUCGAGGCAUUUCCUUUCUAGUGAUCUUGUGUUCUCCUCUCAACAUAUGACAUUUUUAUGUAUAAUUGUAACUUAAUGUCUUUCAUUUCACUAACACUCUUGUUUAGUUGUAUGCUCUCAACAUAUUCGUGCAUCCUUUCUUUCAGAUUGUUAACAGUUGGAUAUUAUCCUUAUAUUAUUACUAAUGUUUUAUCGUUGCUAUUUCAUUAGCGUUUGUAUAUUCUUUACGAUUGUUGUUUUUCAUGCAACUUCUCAAUCACAUGUUUUCUUAUGUUCUUGCAUAUUCAUAUAAUUAUGACUUUUGUCACUCUCGAGUGUUGGUCAGCACAUGCCAUCCAGAUGUCAUUUGAAUAUCUAGGUUGAGGCGUGUCACCCUUCAAACAAAAUCAUUAAGUUUGUAUGAGUUUAUAUAAUUUCUGGCUUUUCUGUAUCACUUCUGGCUUAUUCCAAAUUAUUUAAUUUGCAUUACAUAAUAUGAAUUUUCUAGAUUCCAUGGCAGCCUUAUACAAGGCAUAAUCCCAACUUCCUCGAAAUGUUAAAUGGCCAACAACGAAUGGGAUUGUGCCGGACAUGAUAUACUGGUCAUGACACCACAGGUUCUCUUGGAUGUCAUGAUGAAUGCUUUCUUCAACUUAGAAAUGUUCAGCUUGAUAAUCUUUGACGAAUGUCAUCGCGCUACCAGCAAUCUUCAACUUAGAAACGGUCGGAUAUUGGUGCUUCAUAGCUAGUGAAAUUCUACGAUCUGUUAUGCAAAAUAUUCAAGAGAUCCUUUCGAAUUUCUAGUGUCUCGUCCGCCAUGGAUUCUGAGGCUUAAAUAUCUGCACUUGAAGGCAUCUUGGAUGCUCAGGUUUACACUGUAGAAGACAUGACUGAAAUCAAAACAUUUGUUCCCUCAGCGGUCCACAAAUGUAGGUUUUACGAGCAAGCAUGGUCCGCCUAUUUGGAUUUGAAAGAAAAGAUGGAAGCUCUGCUGUCGAAGACAGUAUGCUUCUGAGUUGGAGUUGCAAGAGCAACUGCCAAGUCAGUACCAAGACAUCAAGGACAAUAUAAAGAUGCUUCAAAAGAAGUUACACAACAACUUGUACUGCCUCGAUGACCUUGGCAUUGUAUGCGCAUAUGAGUUUGUCUGUAGAAUGUCCCUGAUGCCAAAGAACGGUGCCAAUUCUAUAGAGAAUGUUCUUCGCAGUUGAAAAUUUUUCUCGAAGAAGUCUUGCUUAUGAUUGCCAGAUUUCUUCAACCUGGCAUGCCAAUUGGCUGCGAACUUCAUGCAGACUCUCAGUUUGACUACACAAAGGCGUGCGAUUUGGGUUUCAUAUCUCUUAAGUUAUAGGAACUACUAAUUUUCCAGUCAUUUGAACCGGUAGCAAAGUUCAACGCCUCAUUUUCAUAGAGCCAAUUAUUACAGCUAAAGUGAUUGAAAUAUAUGUUAGAAAGUUCGGUACUUAUCUCACUUGAUAGUUUCAUACGUGACUGGAGGUAACGGUUCAGCUGAUGCACUAUCACCGAAGCUGCAAAAAGAAACUUUGGAAUCCUUUUCGCACCACAGAUUUCUAUUUAUACGAAGCUUUGGUGUUAGAAAACCACAUAAUCAGUGAAGAAUAUAUUGAACAUGUUCUUACCAGUAAGAACACCUGCAAAUAAAAGGUGCAUGUCAUUACUUGUCUUGACAUGCUAACCCUUGCAUCGUGGCACACCAAAACAUCGUUGUGGGCAUGCGAUGACAUGCCAUGGCAAGCAUAUUGCACGCUUAGCAUGGCUUGUCAUAACUUAUCUUGACAUGGUAGCCCUUGCAUCAUGGCACUCCAGAACAUCGUUGUUGGCCACGACAUGACAAGCAUCACAAAUUGAAUAUUACUAGAUGUCUAAUGAUCAGCACAGGUUGGCAUAUACAGUUCGAAAUAUUUGAGCAAAUGUUCACAACAUGUGCCUGCCUCUUUGCUUGUCAUGUUUUAUAGGGAUUUAGUGAUACCUUGUUUGAAUCAAGCCGAUUUGUGUUCCUACUGUUUCUGCUUUCCUUUAAUUAUUAAACUUGGCAUGUGAACUUGCAUUUGCAGUAAGAGUGUGGGAGGCUGCUGGAGAUUAAAGUUUAGAGACAAUGGCACUGGUCUCUAGAGGCUUGUUAGAGCGAUAUAUGACGUUCUUUCGUAUACUAGCAGCAUUUAUGGACGAUUUUCUAUUGAAAUUUGCCUUCUCAAGGAAUCCAAAUUGCAAUUUGCAAGUGAAAUUUUGUUCUUAUGUGCUGCAUUUUUUUAAUUGGACUGCUCUGCUUAAAUUUUCUCAAGGAAUCCAAAUUGCAAGUGAAUCAAUCAUCACAACAGUGUUUAGUGUACAUUUGAAAGACAACAAUCGGUGCGUAAUUUAUCAUCGCAAUAAUCUUCGGUAUCUGUUUCGUCAAUCAGAAUUGCCUGAAAUUGAUUUGUGUAUCCUUGUUCCUUUUUUUGGUUUGGUAGGUGGAAUCAUAGUUCUUUGUAGACUCGCAUGGUGACCAUGUGAAAGAAGCUAGGGUAUGCCUACGGACGCUGCACUUAUGCAGGAGUUUCAUGUGCUUCAUAUCGUCCUUUAGAAUCCGGAAAUUAAAUCACGUGGUUGCUUGUGAAAGAGUUUCAUGUCUGCUUCCCUGCAACGAAGACAGAAAAGUUAAGAGAGAUGAGAUGUUUGAUCAGAUUUUCCAAAGUCUAUUUGUGAACAGUUUCUUGAGGAAGUGACCCUCUUUCGGGCUGAAUGUAGCCGGAAAAUACAGAAUUAUUUGUGUAUAGGAUCGUCUUGUAACAUUUUUCUCAAAUAAUUUUCUAACAGAUUGUAGUUAAGAACAAGUUUAAUUCAUUGACAGUUGGGCAAUUGCCUGAGCUAUUUCGUAAUUUGGUCAGCAU